UUGAUUUGCCUAUUCCUAUAAAAAUUUCAGUUGCUAAAAGCGGUGAAUAUAUUUUAGCUAAGAAAAAAGGAACACUACAUGUCAGCAGCAAUAUGGGUGUUCGAGGAACACUAGAAGACGUUCUUUUCUGCCCCGAGGCGCCCUACAACUUGCUAUCUGUUUCGAAGUUGCAACAGGCUGGAGCUACUGUCAUAUUUGAUCACAGAGGUACCCGCAUAUGUAAGCAAGGUCAACAACUUGCAGAUGCGUUAACAAAACCAUUACCAGCGGUUACGUUUCAUGAAAUGAGGAGAAACAUGGGUUUACAAUAAUAAUAUUUAAUGAGUUGGCUACUAUUUGUUAUUAAUUUAAUUAUUCUGUUAUACUCAUUGUGUUCUAAUAAUUAUAUCUAAUGUAUAUAAUGUAUCGAAUUUAAGAUGAUGAAAUGAUCUGAUAAGGUUUUUCUGGGUUUUCCCUUAUCCGAGCAACAAAUGUUGGAUCAUUAUUUUUGUAUUUUCCCAGACUCGCUUGGAAGUUAUAUAGUUCUGUUUAGGCAUUUGAUUUGUACAAGAAUUAAUUUUUGAGGGGGCGUGUUGAUUUAUUUGAGUAAGAUUGCAAAAAUUAAUCAUUGUAUUGACUAUUUCCUGUCAUUUGAAUGAGCGAUCGAGCCGCCAUCUUGUCGAGGCGCCAAAUUGUCUUUACCUCACUCUGCUCCAGGUCAUUUCUGAUUCUUUCCAAUUUGUAUCGUGGUAGGAAGCAGACAUAUCACUUCCAAGUUAAACAGUGAAUAUAUUUCUUUAUUACGGAUA